rnacentral:snRNA from 1 species
AUCCUUUCGCAGUGGCAGUAUCGUAGUCUAUGAGGUUUAUCCGAGGCGCGAUUAUUGCUAGUUGAAAACUUUACCCAAUACCCCGCCUAGACGACUUGAAAUAUAGUCGGCAACGGCAAUUUUUGACAGUCUCUAAGGAGG